rnacentral:lncRNA from 1 species
GCUCAGCUCUAACCUUGCCUUGACUGAUCAGGACUCCUCAGUUCACCUUCUCACAAUGAGGCUCCCUGCUCAGCUCCUGGGGCUGCUAAUGCUCUGGGUCUCUGGAUCCAGUGGGGACAUUGUGAUGACCCAGACUCCACUCUCCCUGCCUGUCACUCCUGGAGAGCCAGCCUCCAUCUCCUGCAGAUCUAUGUCUUACAGGUAGAAGCAUUCUACACAAGCUGUGUGCAGGGGAGUACAGCUAACACUUAGAAAAAAUGUUUGAUGUUGGAUUAUUCAAAUAGACUUUGUAAACUCAUGGCAGGUAUGAGAUCUUAAUGUUAAAAGAUUGAUUACUCUUAAUUAUUAUUUGCCAAGUGAAAGCAGAGUUUUCACAAUUCCAAAAGUGGCCUUUGAAAAUAAACUGCAGGAACUCAAAGAUGGAAAAUAUAAAGUUUAUUUCAAGUAAAAAAGGGAACAUUCAGAAUUAUGUGAGAUUUUU